CAGCUGUACGGCUUCUCUCCAGUGUGAAUGCGUUGAUGUGUUUUUAGGGUACUCUGGUAUGUGAAAGCUGCCCCACAUAGAUCACAGCUGUACGGCUUCUCUCCAGUGUGAAUGCGUUGAUGUAUUUUUAGUGAACUCUGUUGUGUGAAAGCUGCCCCACAUUGAUCACAGCUGUAAGGCUUCUCUCCAGUGUGAAUGCGUUUAUGUAUUUUUAUGUAACCCUUAUGUGUGAAAGCUGCCCCAC